rnacentral:rRNA from 1 species
UACGAGGGGGGCGAGCGUUGUUCGGAAUUAUUGGGCGUAAAGGGUGCGUAGGCGGUUUGGUAAGUCUGAUGUGAAAUCUAUGGGCUCAACUCAUAGUCUGCAUCGGAAACUGCCGGGCUUGAGUAUGGGAGAGGUGAGUGGAAUUCCUGGUGUAGCGGUGAAAUGCGUAGAUAUCAGGAGGAACACCUGUGGCGAAAGCGGCUCACUGGACCAUAACUGACGCUGAUGCACGAAAGCUGGGGAGCAAACAGG